rnacentral:lncRNA from 10 species
UACUAGGCCACGUGGCAAGGGCCUGGUUGGGGACCUCCAGGGGUUGAGAGCAUCCUCUGGACAACAUGGAAAAAGAAAAUGAAAAUGGUGACCUCAGCCCUAUAGCUAGAAGGAAUUGAAUCCUGUCAACAACGAUACUCAUCACUCACUGCAGAUGUUACUUUAAGACAUUCUGGAGCAGCGUCAUGUGCAGGAACAAUAAGGAAGUGAGUGCUUUUGUAAUUCCUGAACAACUGUGUCUUACACUUACUAAGGGAUUCAUGGGCAAUAUGACUGAAUAGGAACAGCUCCAGUCUGAAGCUCCCAGUGAGACCAACAUAGAAGGCAAUCUGGGUGUUAUGAAAGAUGUAGACCAACAGAAACACUCAUACCUUUCUGGUGACAAUAAAACUUUGUACAUUUAUUUUGGAAAACCCU